ensembl:miRNA
GCAGUAUAUGACUCACUUUCAAAACUCAGGAGUCACAUUUGUCUUGUGUGGUUUUGGAUGUCUGGUAGUAUUGU